GUGCUUCCUCGGCACAUAUACUAAAACUGGAAUGAUACAGAGAAGAUUAGCAUGACCCCUUCACAAGGAUGACACGCAAAUUUAUGAAGCAUUCCUUAUUUUU
ensembl:snRNA U6 U6 spliceosomal RNA